rnacentral:rRNA from 1 species
UAGAGUUUGAUCCUGGCUCAGAUUGAACGCUGGCGGCAUGCCUUACACAUGCAAGUCGAACGGCAGCACGGGAGCAAUCCUGGUGGCGAGUGGCGAACGGGUGAGUAAUACAUCGGAACGUGCCCAGUAGUGGGGGAUAGCCCGGCGAAAGCCGGAUUAAUACCGCAUACGACCUAUGGGUGAAAGCGGGGGAUCGCAAGACCUCGCGCUAUUGGAGCGGCCGAUGUCAGAUUAGCUAGUUGGCGGGGUAAAAGCCCACCAAGGCGACGAUCUGUAGCUGGUCUGAGAGGACGACCAGCCACACUGGGACUGAGACACGGCCCAGACUCCUACGGGAGGCAGCAGUGGGGAAUUUUGGACAAUGGGCGCAAGCCUGAUCCAGCCAUGCCGCGUGCGGGAAGAAGGCCUUCGGGUUGUAAACCGCUUUUGUCAGGGAAGAAACGGCCUGAUCUAAUACAUCGGGCUAAUGACGGUACCUGAAGAAUAAGCACCGGCUAACUACGUGCCAGCAGCCGCGGUAGCCCA